rnacentral:ncRNA from 2 species
AUAACUGAUUUAAUGAGCCAUUCG